GACGAACGCUGGCGGCGUGCCUAACACAUGCAAGUCGAGCGGUCCGGCAUUUAACAUUGAGUAUUCAGCAAAGAUGACGGCUACAGAGCCGGCGUCAAGCAGAAACAUCCUUGAUAUUCACGAAUCGAAUCAAAGUUUCUGCUUCACGCUAUAUCAAGUGCCAACACAUACAGGAACUGAGUACUGAAUGUUGAAUGCCGGAUAGCGGCGGACGGGUGAGUAACGCGUGGGCAACCUGCCUCAUACUGGGGGAUAACACAGGGAAACUUGUGCUAAUACCGCAUAAUAUCAUUAUAGGGCAUCCUGUGAUGAUCAAAGGAGCAAUCCGGUGUGAGAUGGGCCCGCGUCCAAUUAGCUAGUUGGUGGGGUAACGCCACCAGGCGACGAUUGGUAGCCGAACUGAGAGGUUGAUCGGCCACAUUGGACUGAGACACGGCCCAGACUCCUACGGGAGCAGCAGUGGGG
rnacentral:rRNA from 1 species